UGCAGUAAAGUCAAAUUCAGUCCCCAUCCUAUCGUGGUGGGAGCUGGCCCAGAUGGCUGCCACAGCAAGCUCUGCUGCUCAUGGGCCCUUACUCUCUUGCCCUAAGACCUAGGGAUAAGUUUGGCUGCAGACAUUG
ensembl:snoRNA